AGAAAGGAAAUGGAAACUGAAACUCAUCUGGGCCACCAGCGCCCAGGUAGGGGAGCCUGUUAGUGGGGCCCCCAUUCCAGGACAGGCAGCGCCUGGGGAGUCACAGCCCUUUGGAAGCCGCAGGCGUCCACCCUCACGGAGAGCAGCAGUUUUCACUUGGAGCAAGCCCUUACUUCAAGUCCUGGUCACUGGCAGCCGAGCACCAUCUUAGCCUCGCUGUGAAUCGCGUGGACCCACACUCAGGGUGCUGUACUCACAGGCCCACAGCACCCCAGGGUGGGUCUCCGCCCUUCCUCAGCCGCUCCACUGAGGGCUUGGCCCUUCCCACUGGUUCCCACAGCUCGCUCACACCCCGCUCCUGCCCGGCAGCGAGUGCUGCUUCGCUUAACCUGAGAGAAGGCAGCUGGGCUCCGUGAAGCUGCAAAGCACCUGUGCCCUUGGCCCCGGACCCAGCCCGAAGUCUGCUCCUCCUGCUUGGACGUCCUCCCCACACUCGCCUCCAGGCCCCCACGCGGCCAGCCCCGGGCCUCUUAGAUAGAUUUUCCUGCUUGCACUGAACACACCUGGCAGAAACACUGCACCCACAGGGCGAUUUUCGGAUCGGCCUCAGGCCGGGCAACCCCACUGCCCCCUUCCCAGUCCCGGAGCCUGUGGGGUCCUGGUGCCCCAGGGACCCCAGCUGCAGGGGUCUGCUCCCUCUGAGGAGGAGUCCUUAAAUCCUCAUGGAUUCUAAUUCGUGGUACCUGAAAUUGAAUCCAUGGCUUUCACAAUGACAACCGUUUUCAUUUUAACAAUUUUGAUUCUUAGGGCCUUCCUACAUCACUAAGUUAUCUGGGCUGGAACUUCCCACCUCAGCCUCCCUGAGGGCUGGAUGACAGGUGUGCACCAGCAUGCCAGGCGUGGCACCCUGCUGAAAGGCUGCCCGAGUGCCCCAGUGUGGGGACAGCACUGCCCCACGCUGCCCGGCUCGCUGUAGACGCCCUGCUUGGCUUCUGCACCCCCACCCUCUCCUUCAACCCCGCUGGGUCUGCCUCUCCUCAGUCAACUCCGGUUGGUUGGGAAGAAAGGCCGAGAGCCCGGGCCUCGCCCAGGCAGACUCGGGUCCUACGAGGUUGACAGCGGGGUGGAUGGAGUAGCUGGGCGGGCCCGGCAUCCUGACUGAGGACCGGCCCAGCGCGCAGCUCAGGAGCUGGAGUCGAAACCCCGGGCGCGCGAGGCCCGAGGGGUGUUUUCUGAACGUCCUCUCGGUCUCAAGUACUUCCUUCCUGAGCCGCCGGCUGCUGAGCAGACAAAUACCCUGGGGCACAGGUUGCAGGUGAGGAGUCGGCCGGGCUAGAGACUGCAGGGCCCAGGCUGCAGGCACCGGAUCUUCAGUCCUUCAUUUGGUAUCUGGUGCUGUUCACAGGACCAAUCAGAAGAUGCUGUUUUCAAUCCCUCAUUUGCAUAGGGGCACAGCCAAUCGAAAGACGCUGUUGUUGAUCCUUCAUUUACAUAUGUCUACUUCUAACUGUCUGAUGCCCAGUGAUAGGGUGACUGCCCAAUGCCUCAUUUGCACGAGAAGGAGAUAACCCGGGAAUCUGGAGGAUAAAGACUUCCUCAUCCUCCGCUUGUGCCCCAAAGAGCGCAUUUCCACCUGGCUGCCUUUUCUGUGUCCUGUCCAGUUCUUUUUGUGGGACACCAACGAGGGAGAGAAACCCCGGGGACCCUACUUGGUGGCAGAAAGGUCCACGGUGCCCCUGAGUCCGCCGGCGGGGACAGCAGAUGGCCCGACUCUCCCAGGACCCGUCGACCACAGACAGAGAAUCCCACAGCAGGGUGCUCCCUGCCUCCGGAGCAGGCCUGCUUCUCUGCCUUCUCCCACCCUGGUCCCAUUUCUGUCCCCAGAGGAGGAAGGUGGUGAGUGUGGCAGAUUUUUAAACAAGUGUACACGGAUGUCCCGGGACGUCGCCUAGACACGGGGGCCACCACGGAGGGGAAGCUUGCUCCGCUGGGCCUGGGGUGGCUCCCAGCCCGGCCGCACCUGUUGGGCCCGGUUGGGGCUGGAAUACAGCCUCUCUCGUUGCUUCACCCCUCCCUGCCAGGAGAGGGCGCCGGUACGCCGGAGACCGCAGGGCGGGUACCCAGAUGAGCUGAGGCAAAGCCUGAUGCCUGGGAAACGCCACCUGUGACGCUUAGUUUUUAAAUAGGCAGAUUAAAAUCUGUGAUAUUUUUUCCAA